UGUGCUGGGAAUGCACUUCCUGUUGCUCAGAUCCAUCGCAAAGGAGCUCAAACCGGGCCCAGAGGAGCGGGUCCCACGGCCUCGGCCUCUGCCAGUGCCAUCCUGGGGGGCCUGGGGGGCGGGCAGGCCCUCUGGGACCAAUGGUGCUGACCCGCCUUGGCCCUGAGUCGCUGGCCCACCGCAGCAGAGGCGAGGAAGGGCAGUCGGGGAUGAGGGGGCCUCUGCUGAGCUGCAGGAGAUCUGCAGGAAACAGACACACCCAGUGGAAACGGCUGAUGUUGGUUGAGUGCCCUCUGCAUGCAGUGGAGAGGUGUCUACAGUGAUGGACAAGAUGGAAGGAAAGGUGGAAAGAGAUAGGAAACAACGAGCCUAAAGGUCACGUGUCUGAGGUCACCUUGACCCCUUUCUUCUCUUACCUCUCACUUCUGAUGUGCGCACCCAGCCAGCCCUGCCUCUGGACGCUGCCACCACCCUGCCCACCACAUCUGGAGCCCGACCCCCGUGGAAACCCCUGCUGGCCCCCUCAGGCCCUUCUCAGCCCAGCGCCAGCGGUCCUAUCACAUCUACGUCAGAUUAUGUCACAUCUCUGCUCACAAUCCACCUGCGGCUGCUCAUUCCCGCCAGAAAACACAUCCAAGACCCCACGAUGGCCUCUAAGUCCCUACGUGGGUGGCCGCUAUGACCCAUCUGUCCUGGUCUCCACUACUCAUACCCUUUCACCUGCUCCAGCGCACUCACCACCUCCUCGCCUCUUGAACUGGCAAAUGCGCUCCUGCCCCAGGGCCUUUGCACUGGCUCUUCCCCCUACCUGGGAUGCUCUUUCCUCAGACGCCACCUGGCUCUUCCCCUCACCUUUUUCAAGGGAGGCCGUCCUUGACCACUUGAUUUAAAUUGCCCUCCUGACCCUCUGGAUUCCCUUUCCUGUUCUAACACUUAUCACCUGCAGGUCAUGUCAUUUUCUUCAUUAUUUUGCUUGUUGUCUGUCUCCCCAAGGACAGAAAGUUUCAUCUGUUUUCUUUGCCGCUGGAUGCCCAGCACCUAAAAUAAGCCUGGUAUUCAAUCAAUAGUUAUUUUUGAAUGUAUCUGACAAGGAAUUAUUUUGCUUUUCCUCAAGGGUCAGCAAAUGGUCUCUGUAAUGGGCCAGAUGGUAAAUAUUUUCAGCUUUCUGUCACACUAUCUCCAUCGAAACUAACCAACCCUGCCAUUAAAAAGCAAAGCAGCCAGAGGCAAUGUGUAUGUGAAUGGGCGGGCCAUGUUCCAAUAAAACUUUAUUUACAAAAGCA